GGGCUUUGCCGGGGCGGGGAGCGGGGCGCCGCCCGAGCGAGCCGGGGGCAGCCCGCCGGAAUUGCCCGCGAGUCUCCGGGCUUUAAAGAUCAGUCUUGAAUUACGGGGCAGGUCACGCGGGGACACCGCCAGGAAUAGGUCCGGCCAAAGCUGAGAACCCGGCCCUUGGCCAGCGAGAGCCGCGGGCUGCUGGGGCCGGUAACCAGCCCCUGCCGCCCGGCCGGGCCCCAGGACUGCCCCGGGGAGUUGUGUAGGGAGGCAGAGCCUGGUCUGGGCAUGAGCCUUUCCUUGGCCUGGGGAACCCUGCUGGACUUGCGCCCGGUUCGAGAACCUCUGCCUCAUUCUGUGCACUGACUGAGCGGCGUGUGUGGAAGAUGGAGAAAUACUUAGAUAAUGAGACAGAAGCUGUGGGGAUCUUCACAUUAUUUUUGCAGAAACUGCCUUGGACCCAGACACAAAUUGUUCUAUAUGGAUUUAUUUCAUCACUUUAAAUAAUUAAACUACUUUGGAAUCAA